GAUGAACGCUGGCGGCGUGCCUAAUACAUGCAAGUCGAGCGAAUGGAUUAAGAGCUUGCUCUUAUGAAGUUAGCGGCGGACGGGUGAGUAACACGUGGGUAACCUGCCCAUAAGACUAGGAUAACUCCGGGAAACCGGGGCUAAUACCGGAUAACAUUUUGAACCGCAUGGUUCGAAAUGGAAAGGCGGCUUCGGCUGUCACUUAGGGAUGGACCCGCGUCGCAUUAGCUAGUUGGUGGGGUAACGGCUCACCAAGGCAACGAUGCGUAGCCGACCUGAGAGGGUGAUCGGCCACACUGGGACUGAGACACGGCCCAGUCUCCUACGGGAGGCAGCAGUAGGGAAUCUUCCGCAAUGGACGAAAGUCUGACGGAGCAACGCCGCGUGAGUGAUGAAGGCUUUCGGGUCGUAAAACUCUGUUGUUAGGGAAGAACAAGUGCUAGUUGAAUAAGCUGGCACCUUGACGGUACCUAACCAGAAAGCCACGGCUAACUACGUGCCAGCCGCCGCCGUAA
rnacentral:rRNA from 1 species